UCGCUUUGGCAGCAAAUAUACUAAAACUGGAACGAUUCAGAGAAGAUUAGCAUGGGAAACAAAAAUAACCCUAACUUUUUUUGAUUUUC